GUGGGGAAUAUUGGACAAUGGGCGCAAGCCUGAUCCAGCCAUACCGCGUGGGUGAAGAAGGCCUUCGGGUUGUAAAGCCCUUUUGUUGGGAAAGAAAUCCUGUCGAUUAAUACUCGGUGGGGAUGACGGUACCCAAAGAAUAAGCACCGGCUAACUUCGUGCCAGCAGCCGCGGUAAUACGAAGGGUGCAAGCGUUACUCGGAAUUACUGGGCGUAAAGCGUGCGUAGGUGGUGGUGUAAGUCUGCUGUGAAAGCCCUGGGCUCAACCUGGGAAUUGCAGUGGAUACUGGAUCACUAGAGUGUGGUAGAGGGAUGCGGAAUUUCUGGUGUAGCAGUGAAAUGCGUAGAGAUCAGAAGGAACAUCCGUGGCGAAGGCGGCAUCCUGGGCCAACACUGACACUGAGGCACGAAAGCGUGGGGAGCAAACAGGAUUAGAUACCCGAGUAGUCC
rnacentral:rRNA from 1 species